AUUGAACGCUGGCGGCAUGCUUUACACAUGCAAGUCGAACGGUAACAGGCCGCAAGGUGCUGACGAGUGGCGAACGGGUGAGUAAUGCAUCGGAACGUGCCCAGUCGUGGGGGAUAACUACUCGAAAGAGUAGCUAAUACCGCAUACGAUCUAUGGAUGAAAGCGGGGGACCAUAAGGCCUCGCGCGAUUGGAGCGGCCGAUGUCAGAUUAGGUAGUUGGUGGGGUAAAGGCUCACCAAGCCAACGAUCUGUAGCUGGUCUGAGAGGACAACCAGCCACACUGGGACUGAGACACGGCCCAGACUCCUACGGGAGGCAGCAGUGGGGAAUUUUGGACAAUGGGCGCAAGCCUGAUCCAGCAAUGCCGCGUGCAGGAAGAAGGCCUUCGGGUUGUAAACUGCUUUUGUACGGAACGAAACGGCUCUGGUUAAUACCCGGGGCUAAUGACGGUACCGUAAGAAUAAGCACCGGCUAACUACGUG
rnacentral:rRNA from 1 species